GAUGAACGCAGGCGGCGUGCCUAAUACAUGCAAGUCGAGCGAAUGGAUUAAGAGCUUGCUCUUAUGAAGUUAGCGGCGGACGGGUGAGUAACACGUGGGUAACCUGCCCAUAAGACUGGGAUAACUCCGGGAAACCGGGGCUAAUACCGGAUAACAUUUUGAACCGCAUGGUUCGAAAUUGAAAGGCGGCUUCGGCUGUCACUUAUGGAUGGACCCGCGUCGCAUUAGCUAGUUGGGGAGGUAACGCCUCACCAAGGCAACGAUGCGUAGCCGGCCUGAGGGGGUGAUCGGCCACACUGGGACUGAGACACGGCCCAGACUCCUACGAGAGGCAGCAGUAGGGAAUCUUCCGCAAUGGACGAAAGUCUGACGGAGCAACGCCGCGUGAGUGAUGAAGGCUUUCGGGUCGUAAAACUCUGUUGUUAGGGAAGAACAAGUGCUAGUUGAAUAAGCUGGCACCUUGACGGUACCUAACCAGAAAGCCACGGCUAACUACGUGCCAGCCGCCGCGGUAA
rnacentral:rRNA from 1 species